UGCGUAGGCGGUCUUUCAAGCCAGAAGUGAAAGGCUACGGCUCAACCGUAGUAAGCUUUUGGAACUGUAAGACUUGAGUGCAGGAGAGGAGAGUGGAAUUCCUAGUGUAGCGGUGAAAUGCGUAGAUAUUAGGAGGAACACCAGUAGCGAAGGCGGCUCUCUGGACUGUAACUGACGCUGAGGCACGAAAGCAUGGGGAGCAAACA
rnacentral:rRNA from 1 species